UACGUAGGGAGCAAGCGUUGUCCGGAAUCAUUGGGCGUAAAGCGCGCGUAGGCGGCCCUGUAAGUCCGUUGUGAAAGUCAAAGGCUCAACCUUUGAAAGCCGAUGGAUACUGCAGGGCUGGAGUCCGGAAGAGGCGAGUGGAAUUCCUGGUGUAGCGGUGGAAUGCGCAGAUAUCAGGAGGAACACCAAUAGCGAAGGCAGCUCGCUGGGACGGUACUGACGCUAAGGCGCGAAAGCGUGGGGAGCGAAC
rnacentral:rRNA from 1 species